rnacentral:rRNA from 1 species
GAUGAACGCUGGCGGCGUGCCUAAUACAUGCAAGUCGAGCGAACGGACGAGAAGCUUGCUUCUCUGAUGUUAGCGGCGGACGGGUGAGUAACACGUGGAUAACCUACCUAUAAGACUGGGAUAACUUCGGGAAACCGGAGCUAAUACCGGAUAAUAUUUUGAACCGCAUGGUUCAAAAGUGAAAGACGGUCUUGCUGUCACUUAUAGAUGGAUCCGCGCUGCAUUAGCUGGUUGGUAAGGUAACGGCUUACCAAGGCAACGAUGCAUAGCCGACCUGAGAGGGUGAUCGGCCACACUGGAACUGAGACACGGUCCAGACUCCUACGGGAGGCAGCAGUAGGGAAUCUUCGGCAGUGGGCGAAAGCCUGACGGAGCAACGCCGCGUGAGUGAUGAAGGUCUUCGGAUCGUAAUACUCUGUUAUUAGGGAAGAACAGAUGUGUAAGUAACUGUGCACAUCUUGACGGUACCUAAUCAGAAAGCCACGGCUAACUACGUG